UGGGGAAUUUUGGACAAUGGGGGCAACCCUGAUCCAGCAAUGCCGCGUGUGUGAAGAAGGCCUUCGGGUUGUAAAGCACUUUUGUCCGGGAAGAAAUCGCACCUGAUAAUACCGGGUGUGGAUGACGGUACCGGAAGAAUAAGGACCGGCUAACUACGUGCCAGCAGCCGCGGUAAUACGUAGGGUCCAAGCGUUAAUCGGAAUUACUGGGCGUAAAGCGUGCGCAGGCGGUUGUGCAAGACCGAUGUGAAAUCCCCGGGCUUAACCUGGGAAUUGUAUUGGUGACUGCACGGCUAGAGUGUGUCAGAGGGGGGUAGAAUUCCACGUGUAGCAGUGAAAUGCGUAGAGAUGUGGAGGAAUACCGAUGGCGAAGGCAGCCCCCUGGGAUAACACUGACGCUCAUGCACGAAAGCGUGGGGAGCAAACAGG
rnacentral:rRNA from 1 species